AGCAAUUGAAGGAUGAACAUGAACAAAUCAGUCAGGAGAACUGCUUACAAUGUCUGCUCUGGCCUGGCUUUUGUUCAGGUAGCAAGGUAGUCGGAUCCAGGCACUGGAAGCUGAGAUGACAGCGUUUAAAAGGCACCCUUGAAGUGGAAGUGGGUUGGAUGCAGAAGCCAGGAACAAGGAGCUACUGCAUGCUUUUCACGAGAAGCAUUGGAAAACCUGUUUUUCCAAUCAGCCAAACUAGAGUCAAUAUGUGGAUUCAAGAGCAAACAGAUUUUUAUUCAACAUAAAGAAGAUCAUUCUGCUUAUUAGAACUGUGCAAUGAUGAAAUAUAUGUAUGUAAGCAAAAACUACAAGAUCUUGCAGAGAGAGCAAAUUCCAGCACUGAGUACUGAAAGAGAAAACAUGCAUUAAGAAGAUAAAAGGCCAGUUGUCUUAUCCAGCUGUCUCACGCCCAGGCUGGGAAAAUUUCCAUCCUCAUUGAUAGAACCACACUGGAAUGAUCAAUUAAGACCAGAGAGGGCAGUCCUGACCCAGGCUACAAGGGAAAUGGAAUUGUGAGCAGAGAGACUGACCUGGAAAUAAUAGCUUGAGGCCAUUCAUCUGGAUGGUGGUACCCUGAGAUAUCAUUCAUUUAUAUCUGCUGUCACAACAUCUGGAACUGCUCAGGUUCUUGCCCUUUCUCAAGCUGGUAUGAAGAGAAGAUUUGACCCUACUUUUCUGUUCUCACCUUUCUGAGAAGUCCAUACUUUAUUUUAAGAGGUGUAUUAAAUGGUUAAAAUUCUGAAAAGAAUGAGAUGAAGGAAGAAAGGCAGGCAGGAAAGAAGAAAGGAAAUGUCACUGUCCUAUUCCUGUCUUCAGUGUGCUGAGUUUCUCACCCUACUAUUAUAGCAUUCUCAUUGAUGUCUAAGGCAAAACAGUGAGGAUCUGGCAAAAUGUUUUGGCUGUACAGACUGUGGAGCUGUUUUCUUCAGGUACCAUGGCUGCCAAUAUCCCCAAGAUGGAAUGAACUUUUGACUCUGGGCACCAGAUAAAGCUUCAAGCUGUUCCCUGUAGGAGUGAGGAACUUGGAAGGAGUUAAGGACUUCAAUGGCUUUCGCUAAUGCUUUUAGGCAGCUUCACCUAUUUUUGCCUAAAAAGCACACAGAACAGUUAAAGAUCAAGGCUUGUUUUAAAUAUGUCAUCCAGGACUCCUGGAAAUCCAGAUAUUGGAAAUAAUGUCUGACAAUUGUUUUCUUCUUUAAAUAAACCCCAACAGCUUUGCCACCAGCAGUAAGCUCCUGUGUAUUAAGGCAAUGUGUCCUUGAAAGGGGUUUCAUCUCUUCUUACAUAUCCUGUUUAUUUUCUCAGGUGGAAUGAUCUCAAAAAAAAAUUUUAGCUUAAUGAAAUUACCAGCCUGGACGGAAAAGCUUUAUGUUUGAAUAGAACAUUUUUUUACUUCCCAAGUACUUUUUCAAUAAGAAAACUGACGGUGAUAUAGCUGUUGACCUUAAAGAUGAAAUAUUUGCCUUUGCAUGCUGUGUACUUUCUCAAGAGAAAGUUGUGCUAUUUUCCUGGUCCUUCAGUGAAAUAUGAUGGUCCCUCACACAGGUAGAAAUGCUUUGGACCUUAGAUCAACAAUGUCACAGUCUUCCUUGCUUUUAUCACCCAUAGCCUGCAUUUUGUCUGGAAGCCAGUACACGAAAGCUGCUGCUGUUUGAGCAGAUUUCUUUGUUGUGUUCUUUUCUCAUUUUGAAAACCAUAAGAAUUGCUACUCAAUAAAAAAAUAACAGUUGAGCUUCAUUUCAGUAUUGGUAUUGUGGCUCCAGCUGCGAGCACUGCAGCAUGCUCUGGAGGAAGCUUUUAGGAGUCUCCAUAAUUUCUUCCUGACCCCAGCUGGUGAUCAGUUUAUGUCCUGAAGCUUGCAGAUGAAUAGCCCUUCUAAUUCCCAUCCUCGUGUGGGUGCAUUCUGGCUUGCCCUAUCUGAAUAGAAAAUCUGAAAGGUGACAGUGUUUUGAAAUGUUAUUCCUCUGGAAACAGGAAGAGAAACACCUUAGAUUAAUAGCCUUCUUAUUUAUAAAAAGAGAAAGCAUAUUUUGUAUGUCACAUUAGAAUGCAAUGCAACAAUUCUCACCUAGUACGGUGUUUAUGGUCCAUUUAUGAUUUUGUUCUCUUCCUUUUCCUUUAACAUAUUAUUUCAUUCAAUCAAUCACAUAAUCAUUCUAUCAUUUUUAUAUUCUUUAUCAUAUAUUCUUUUAUUCAACUCACAUCUAUUAAGUAUCUUUUAUAUGCAAGAUAUUGUGUAUGAUAAUGGCCCCUGACAUUCUUGAUUUUUUUUUUACAUCCACAGUUUACAAGCUCAUAGGGAAAAUAAUAAUUGAAUAUAGAUGUAUAUAACAGAGGCUGAUUAAAAAUACUCUGCUGUUUUAAACUUAAGAAAAAAACAGUUUACAAAUUAUUUUCACCUGAUUUAAUUCAUGUCCAUACUACUUAAAGAGUUGGUAUCAGAAUCCACAUUGUAUUGUUCCCUUUCUUUUGUGAUUGCCAAUUGUAUCCACUUAGCAUUGAAACUACACUAACACGAUGUAUUUGCUUUUCUGAAGAUUUUGUGAAGGAAUGCACCAGGACAUUUCUUUCAUCAUAGCCUUUUCCCCUUUGUCACUGAUGUUGUCACUAGGUGGCUGCUUGUCCUACUCAUCCCAAGAUGCUUUGGAAAAGGGGACAUGUUGUAAUUAGAGUCUGCACAGGGAAGUGCAAAUGCCAAACUGGAUUUCUGGUUGGGAUGGCGGCAAGAGACAAAAACUGUUGUAAAAUGUACCAGUAAGUACCAUUUAAAAUAUGUGCGAAGAAAAAAAAAGGCUUCCUUUCUCUAGAAGAUUGAGUUAAUUUACCUUUAAGAAGGGACACAACAAUCUGGAGCAGAUUGUACUGGCCAUUUAACCCACAAAGGGGAAAAAUAAAAUUAUAU